AAAAACAGAGCAAAAAUGACAACGAGGACACAUACAUACAUGUCAAGAAGGUUGUUGGUGGCGCUGAUGACCCAACAGUGCACAUUAGCAGCGCCACCUCCACCCGCCACCAUCUCCCGCCGCCCUGCUAUCCUACGCCGCCCAUCACCGCCUCCAUUCUCCCAACGCUUCAUCACAAUGACCACCAACAACCAAGACCACCUCGAUGACUUGUUCAAGCAAAAACGGAUGCUCCGAACUAAGGUCCGGAAGGCCCUGAAGUCAAUGGACCCAGUACUUAGAUCCCAGGAAGAUGAUGCGAUUCAGAGGAUUGUGUUGGAAGCUCCAUGGUUUAAGUCUAGUGAGAGAUUGUGUGCUUAUAUAAGCUGUGCUGCUUUGCGUGAAGUUGAUACUUCUAAAGUGUUGGGUGAGAUUCUAAAGAGUAAAGAUGGUGAUGUGCAAGUGAGGAAAAAGCUUUAUGUGCCGCGUGUGGAGGACAAGAAUAGUCACAUGAGAAUGCUCAACAUUUCGAGUGUUGAUGAUCUGGUUGCGAAUUCGAUGGAUAUUUUAGAACCGGCUGCGGUGGAUGCUGAUGGAAAUGAACGCGAAGAUGUUUUACAGGCAAGUGAUCCAGUUGAUUUGUUCCUCUUACCAGGACUAGCAUUUGACAGAUCUGGGAGACGUUUGGGUCGAGGCGGAGGUUAUUAUGAUACUUUUCUGAGGAACUACCAAGAGCUUGUGAAGGCACGCAAUUGGAAGCAGCCCCUCCUUGAUUGGCGGCUUUAUUGCAGUUGCAAUGUCGUAUUCUCCACAGAUAGUGGAUGAAGGAGUUAUAUCGGUCACCCAACAUGAUGUUCCAGUUGAUGCUCUUGUGUCCUCAGCCGGUGUGAUUCCGAUCAGCACAGCUGCCAUAGACAGGAUGAAACUUUGAUAAGAACCUUGAAGCUUUCUUUCUAGAUGGAUCCUCGCAAAGUUGGACUCUUUUUGCCCCGUGAUCUGUAAAAGGAAAUCAGACCAGUAUGCUUGAGAUACAGGACUUGGUGAUGUUAAUUGAAGAGGUGAAAGUUCUGAUCUGCUGUGGUUGAGAGGUCAGGCUGAUUCCAGCACCUUUAGUCUAAUACAAAUAGAGCACAGUUUCUACCACGUUUAGGUCAUGCUAUUGAUUUGUAUUAUUUGGAACACAGAAUUUAGAGAAAACUUUGUUUUUAGGAUGAAUAUGUUCUUCCUUUGUGCCUUUGUCACUUUUGUCUUCUUUAAGAUAAAACCCGUAUUAUUCUGUACUAGUUCCAUCAGUGUUUUGGGAACAAUUGCAUGUAAGGUGAUGUAGUUGGAUUAGAUUUACCUAUGGGCCAAGGUCCUUUUGAAUUCUCAAAUGAAGCUUGAACUCUAAUUGGUUUUUA